CAGACAGACUCAUCCAGACACACGUGGUCUGUAUCUCUAGAAUGCGACCAGUGACCGGGAGGCUCAGAUCCCUGUAGACCAGGGGUUCCAUCAGAAUGAAUGGUGGAAAAACGAUUGGAACCAUUUCCCUGUUUGACCGCUAGGUUUUAUGGGUAUUUUAUAGCAGCUCGAAAGGCCACACUAAAUUCAUUCGGAGCAGCCUUUUCCCCCACGAUUUAAGGGCCACUCUGGUUGAAUUGGAUCUUUUUAAGGUUUUAAACCUUUUAAUUUCCAUUUUUAAGGUUAACCACAUUACAAGGAUACAAAGGCCAUGUGUUAAAUAAAAUGUAUUUUAUUUUUUUUACAUUUUAUUUUCAGGAUUUUUGGGGGAAAAUUCUUCCGCAACCUCGUUUUCACAUCAGGCUGGGCAAAAAUGCAAAUGCUUUCCGUUUGAGUUAUAUUAGGUUUUAUUUUCACCAGGAGAAUAUACAUAACUGUCUUAUGAUUUAUAUUAUCUUGUUUUGAUAUUGUCAAUUUAAUUGUGUGACCCCCCCAACACGGGGGUCACGACCCUUAGUUUGGUGACCGCUGCUGGCCACUGUGAGGCCACAUCCCUCUCUGAGGCUGAGGUUUAAUACACAGAGAAAGACUGGCUGGACACUGUGAGGCCACCAUCUCUCUCUGAGGCUGAGGUUUAAUACACAGAGAAAGACUGGCUGGACUCUGUGAGGCCACCAUCCCUCUCUGAGGCUGAGGUUUAAUACACAGAGAAAGACUGGCUGGACACUGUGAGGCCACCAUCCCUCUCUGAGGCUGAGGUUUAAUACACAGAGAAAGACUGGCUGGACACUGUGAGACCACCAUCCCUCUCUGAGGCUGAGGUUUAAUACACAGAGAAAGACUGGCUGGACACUGUGAGACCACCAUCCCUCUCUGAGGCUGAGGUUUAAUACACAGAGAAAGACUGGCUGGACACUGUGAGGCCACCAUCCCUCUCUGAGGCUGAGGUUUAACACACAGAGAAAGACUGGCUGGACACUGUGAGACCACCAUCCCUCUCUGAGGCUGAGGUUUAAUACACAGAGAAAGACUGGCUGGACACUGUGAGACCACCAUCCCUCUCUGAGGCUGAGGUUUAAUACACAGAGAAAGACUGGCUGGACACUGUGAGGCCAGGCUGAGGUUUAAUACACAGAGAAAGACUGGCUGGACACUGUGAGGCCACCAUCCCUCUCUGAGGCUGAGGUUUAAUACACAGAGAAAGACUGGCUGGACACUGUGAGGCCACCAUCCCUCUCUGAGGCUGAGGUUUAAUACACAGAGAAAGACUGGCUGGACACUGUGAGGCCACCAUCCCUCUCUGAGGCUGAGGUUUAAUACACAGAGAAAGACUGGCUGGACACUGUGAGACCCUCUCUGAGGCUGAGGUUUAAUACACAGAGAAAGACUGGCUGGACACUGUGAGGCCAGGCUGAGGUUUAAUACACAGAGAAAGACUGGCUGGACACUGUGAGGCCACCAUCCCUCUCUGAGGCUGAGGUUUAAUACACAGAGAAAGACUGGCUGGACACUGUGAGGCCACCAUCCCUCUCUGAGGCUGAGGUUUAAUACACAGAGAAAGACUGGCUGGACACUGUGAGGCCAGGCUGAGGUUUAAUACACAGAGAAAGACUGGCUGGACACUGUGAGGCCACCAUCCCUCUCUGAGGCUGAGGUUUAAUACACAGAGAAAGACUGGCUGGACACUGUGAGGCCACCAUCCCUCUCUGAGGCUGAGGUUUAAUACACAGAGAAAGACUGGCUGGACACUGUGAGGCCACCAUCCCUCUCUGAGGCUGAGGUUUAAUACACAGAGAAAGACUGGCUGGACACUGUGAGACCACCAUCCCUCUCUGAGGCUGAGGUUUAAUACACAGAGAAAGACUGGCUGGACACUGUGAGGCCACCAUCCCUCUCUGAGGCUGAGGUUUAACACACAGAGAAAGACUGGCUGGACACUGUGAGACCACCAUCCCUCUCUGAGGCUGAGGUUUAAUACACAGAGAAAGACUGGCUGGACACUGUGAGGCCACCAUCCCUCUCUGAGGCUGAGGUUUAAUACACAGAGAAAGACUGGCUGGACACUGUGAGGCCACCAUCCCUCUCUGAGGCUGAGGUUUAAUACACAGAGAAAGACUGGCUGGACACUGUGAGGCCACCAUCCCUCUCUGAGGCUGAGGUUUAAUACACAGAGAAAGACUGGCUGGACACUGUGAGGCCACCAUCCCUCUCUGAGGCUGAGGUUUAAUACACAGAGAAAGACUGGCUGGACAAAAAUGCUGAUUCUUAAUGGGAUUUAAAAAGGCUGAACAAUGAUCAUCAAAUACAAACUGAUGAAUGAUUUGAACCAGAUUAUAAAACAUCAUUAUAAAAACACGAAUGUCAGAUUAUAAAACAUGUCUGUAACACUAAACGGGUGGAAAAGCUGAACAUUUAUAAUAAAAACUAAUCCCAAAACGUGAUCAUUUAUCAAGUCCAUUUACAAAGCAACACAAUGUGUCUUUCAUGUCACCAGGAACAAACACUGGUUCAACUAAUUCACAUGACAGGAAGUUGGUGAACAGGCUUGUGGGUAAUGGCUGGAGCUGAAUCAGUGGAACGGUAUUAAAUAUAUCAAACACAUUCUGAUUGGUCCCAGAAACAGGAAGUUGGUGAACAGGUUAAUUGGGGAGAACGGUAUUAAAUAUAUCAAAAACAUUCUAACUGUUCUGAUUGGUCCCAGAAACAGGAAGUUGGUGAACAGGCUUGUGGGUAAUGACAGGAGCGGAAUCGGUGGAACGGCAUUAAAUACAUCACACAUGGUUUCCAU